rnacentral:rRNA from 1 species
GAUGAACGCUGGCGGCGUGCUUAACACAUGCAAGUCGAACGGAAAGGCCCAAGCUUGCUUGGGUCCUCGAGUGGCGAACGGGUGAGUAACACGUGGGUGAUCUGCCCUGCACUUCGGGAUAAGCCUGGGAAACUGGGUCUAAUACCGGAUAGGACCACUUCUUGGAUGUUGUGGUGGAAAGUUUUUCGGUGUGGGAUGAGCUCGCGGCCUAUCAGCUUGUUGGUGGGGUAAUGGCCUACCAAGGCGUCGACGGGUAGCCGGCCUGAGAGGGUGUACGGCCACAUUGGGACUGAGAUACGGCCCAGACUCCUACGGGAGGCAGCAGUGGGGAAUAUUGCACAAUGGGCGCAAGCCUGAUGCAGCGACGCCGCGUGGGGGAUGACGGCCUUCGGGUUGUAAACUCCUUUCGCUAGGGACGAAGCUUAUUUUGUGACGGUACCUGGAGAAGAAGCACCGGCUAACUACGUG